UAAACCCACCUCACCCUGCCGCUCCCCAGAGCUUCAGCCCUCCGCCCCCUGCUCGCCACGGGCCGCAGCUCGGGCCGGCCUGGGCCUCGCCCGGCCUGGCACCGCCGGGGCGGCUGCCCGGGCCCGGCGCCCGCGGCUGGGCCCGGCCCGUGGACUCACGCAGGCUGGGAACGGUGUCAGUGGGCGGCCUGGGCGUGCUGAGCCCCCACCCGCAUCGCCGAGAGGGCUGGAGGGGGUGUCCAGCAGAGCCGUGCUCGGCACGGGGUGGAUGUUGGCCAAACUGAAUGGCAAAGGGUAAAUUGGGACCUUAACGUGCUCAUUUUGGUUAGAUUUGAGGCACGUGAACUCUGUGGCACGAGCUGCUUCCUUCUCGUAUUUCUUAAGCGCUCGGGGUGGGAGGACAGUGACAGCUAGGAAAUGCUAAAAUAUCAGUGAUACGUAGCAGUUUCGUGGCAGAUUUCCUGAGGGGCUGGCUAAAACCCGUCACUUUUUCUUUCUUUCUCUUUUCUUUUUUUUUGGCUUAUUUAUUGCUAGGCUGCCAUUCAGCCCGUUUCAGUCACGGAGCACAUAAGCGCUAGGGCCACUGUAAAGAGAAAGCCCAAGAAGGAGAAAGAGUCUGCAGCAGCACCAGCUUAAGACAGGCUUAUACUGACUGCCUCUCCCAGUGUCCCACCUGCGCCCCAUGCCUCCGAGAGAAGUUUGUCUGCUGAGUUACGUGAUGGAGAAGCUGGUGUUCGCUCAUGCAAGCAGUAACCUCAAUCCUGACAUCAGCCAUGAUUCCAAUACUUGCCUAUCCUGCAAUACGACUCCUGGAAAUUGCCUCUGAGAAGAGAGAACGAGAGAUCUUGGCUCUGUGCUGACUUUGUGCCUAUGAUAGUUUCCCGGUCAGAGUAAAGGUGUGUGUUUCAAUAUUAA